GAUGAACGCUGGCGGCGUGCCUAAUACAUGCAAGUCGAGCGAACGGACGAGAAGCUUUCUUUUCUUAUGUUAGCGGCGGACGGGUGAGUAACACGUGGAUAACCUACCUAUAAGACUGGGAUAACUUCGGGAAACCUGAUCUAAUACCGGAUAAUAUUUUGAACCGCAUGGUUCAACAGUGAAAGACGGUCUUGCUGUCACUUAUAGAUGGAUCCUCGCUGCAUUAGCUAGUUGGUAAGGUAACGGCUUACCAAGGCAACGAUGCAUAGCCGACCUGAGAGGGUGAUCGGCCACACUGGAACUGAGACACGGUCCAGACUCCUACGGGAGGCAGCAGUAGGGAAUAUUCCGCAAUGGGCGAAAGCCUGACGGAGCAACGCCGCGUGAGUGAUGAAGGUCUUCGGAUCGUAAAACUCUGUUAUUAGGGAAGAACAUAUGUGUAAGUAACUGUGCACAUCUUGACGGUACCUAAUCAGAAAGCCACGGCUAACUACGUG
rnacentral:rRNA from 1 species